AGUGAAGGAGACCAAUGCCACGAGGGUUAUCUCGCAGCCCCAGAUGCUGGAUAAGUUGAAGGAGGCAGAAUCGCUUUUGGAUGACAUUCAGGAAGGCCUUGAAUGAUUAUCUGGCGAAGAAAAGACUAUUCUUUCCAAGGUAAACAGCCCGUUUCAUCUGUC
rnacentral:lncRNA from 12 species